rnacentral:rRNA from 1 species
ACUCCUACGGGAGGCAGCAGUGGGGAAUAUUGCACAAUGGGGGAAACCCUGAUGCAGCCAUGCCGCGUGUGUGAAGAAGGCCUUCGGGUUGUAAAGCACUUUCAGUAGGGUAGGAAGGUAGUGUAGUUAACACCUGCAUUAUUUGACGUUACCUACAGAAGAAGCACCGGCUAACUCCGUGCCAGCAGCCGCGGUAAUACGGAGGGUGCGAGCGUUAAUCGGAAUUACUGGGCGUAAAGCGCAUGCAGGCGGCCUGUUAAGUCAGAUGUGAAAGCCCGGGGUCUUAACCUCGGAAUUGCAUUUGAAACUGGCAGGCUAGAGUCUUGUAGAGGGGGUUAGAAUUUCAGGUGUAGCGGUGAAAUGCGUAGAGAUCUGAAGGAAUACCAGUGGCGAACGGCGGCCCCCGUAGGACAAAGACUGACGCUCAGAUGCGAAAGCGUGGGACGCAAACGAGGAUUACGAUACCCCGUGGUAGACUGUCA